GGGGAAUAUUGCACAAUGGGGGAAACCCUGAUGCAGCGACGCCGCGUGAGUGAAGAAGUAAUUCGUUAUGUAAAGCUCUAUCAGCAGGGAAGAACAUGACGGUACCUGAGUAAGAAGCCGCGGCUAACUACGGGCCAGCAGCCGCGGUAAUACGUAGGGGGCAAGCGUUAUCCGGAUUUACUGGGUGUAAAGGGAGCGUAGACGGCAUAGCAAGUCUGAAGUGAAAGGCUGGGGCUGAACCCCGGGACUGCUUUGGAAACUGUUAGGCUGGAGUGCAGGAGAGGUAAGUGGAAUUCCUAGUGUAGCGGUGAAAUGCGUAGAUAUUAGGAGGAACACCAGUGGCGAAGGCGGCUUACUGGACUGUAACUGACGUUGAGGCUCGAAAGCGUGGGGAGCAAACAGG
rnacentral:rRNA from 1 species